UGGGGAAUUUUGGACAAUGGGGGCAACCCUGAUCCAGCAAUGCCGCGUGUGUGAAGAAGGCCUUCGGGUUGUAAAGCACUUUUGUCCGGGAAGAAAUCGCACCUGAUAAUACCGGGUGUGGAUGACGGUACCGGAAGAAUAAGGACCGGCUAACUACGUGCCAGCAGCCGCGGUAAUACGUAGGGUCCAAGCGUUAAUCGGAAUUACUGGGCGUAAAGCGUGCGCAGGCGGUUGUGCAAGACCGAUGUGAAAUCCCCGGGCUUAACCUGGGAAUUGCAUUGGGGACUGCACGGCUAGAGUGUGUCAGAGGGGGGUAGAAUUCCACGUGUAGCAGUGAAAUGCGUAGAGAUGUGGAGGAAUACCGAUGGCGAAGGCAGCCCCCUGGGAUAACACUGACGCUCAUGCACGAAAGCGUGGGGAGCAAACAGG
rnacentral:rRNA from 1 species